rnacentral:rRNA from 1 species
CAGCCGCCACGGGAAUACGGAGGGUGCAAGCGUUAUCCGGAUUUAUUGGGUUUAAAGGGUCCGUAGGCGGAUCUGUAAGUCAGUGGUGAAAUCUCACAGCUUAACUGUGAAACUGCCAUUGAUACUGCAGGUCUUGAGUAAAUUUGAAGUGGCUGGAAUAAGUAGUGUAGCGGUGAAAUGCAUAGAUAUUACUUAGAACACCAAUUGCGAAGGCAGGUCACUAAGAUUUAACUGACGCUGAUGGACGAAAGCGUGGGGAGCGAACAGGAUUAGAUACCCCUGUAGUCCCUGUCUCUUAUAU